rnacentral:tRNA from 1 species
GAGCAUGUCACUCAGUGGUAGAGUGUGUGCCUAGCACGCACAACAUCCUGGGUUCAAUCCCCUGUACCUCCA